rnacentral:rRNA from 1 species
UACGGAAGGCAGCAGUGGGGAAUAUUGCACAAUGGGCGCAAGCCUGAUGCAGCCAUGCCGCGUGUAUGAAAAAGGCCUUCGGGUUGUAAAGUACUUUCAGUCGUGAGGAAGGUGUUAAGGUUAAUAACCUUAGCAAUUGACGUUAGCGACAGAAGAAGCACCGGCUAACUCCGUGCCAGCAGCCGCGGUAAUACGGAGGGUGCGAGCGUUAAUCGGAAUUACUGGGCGUAAAGGGCACGCAGGCGGUUAAUUAAGUUGGAUGUGAAAUCCCCGGGCUUAACCUGGGAAUGGCAUUCAAGACUGGUUAGCUAGAGUCUUGUAGAGGGGGUAGAAUUCCAUGUGUAGCGGUGAAAUGCGUAGAGAUGUGGAGGAAUACCGGUGGCGAAGGCGGCCCCUGGACAAAGACUGACGCUCAUGUGCGAAAGCGUGGGGAGCAAACAGGGAUUAGAUA